rnacentral:lncRNA from 1 species
AAAUCUAUAUUUCUAGCAAGAAACUCAAUGAUUACAUUCACCAUUGUUGCUUAACUAUAGCAGCCAACAUAUUCUAGCAAAUAACAGAUCAAUCUGAAGGACUGAAACAAUAUCUAUUCCAACUUUUAGAAGAUCUAAAGAGCCAAAAAGAUGGUUUACUUGGCACUGCACUGAUUAAAGCAAGAAAUAAAACCAACAGGACUUGAAUGUAACCAUUGAUAAUGAGUCUUUAGUUUGUCCUCUUAGACAACCUUCUUCAUAAUACAUUUCUUUAUUUAAUAAACAUUAUAAUCUUCAGCUAAGUUCUCACCUUAAUUUUUAACAUACUUUAUCUGAUGUAAUACAAAAUUGUUUUUUUUCUGAUAAUUAAAUUUUUAUUAUGACUAACUAUUCACUUUUUAUAAGGAUUUUAAGAAGAUUAACUAAUUUCCCUCUAAACUAAUAAAAAUGCAAUGUUGAUGGUUCAGUUGAUUACUAGC